CAACACACAUUAUUAAAAACCGAAGUCACGCCCUUCUACUUCCAGUCCAUGGGACCUAUCUUUCAAAAAAAAUAUGAACAGGAGUUAAUGGAGAGAUAACAAUUAUUUUUU